AUUGAACGCUGGCGGCAGGCCUAACACAUGCAAGUCGAGCGAGCGGCGGACGGGUGCGUAAUGUCUGGGAAACUGCCUGAUGGAGGGGGGUAACUCCUGGAAACGGUUGCGAAUACCGCAUACCAUCAGAUGUGCCCAGGUGGGAUUAGCGAGUAGGUGGGGUAACGGCUCACCCAGGCGACGAUCCCUAGCUGGUCUGAGAGGAUGACCAGCCACACGGGAACUGAGACACGGUCCAGACUCCUACGGGAGGCAGCAGUGGGGAAUAUUGCACAAUGGGCGAAGGACUGAUGCAGCAAGGCCGCGUGUGUGAAGAAGGCUUUCGGGGUGUAAAGCACUUUUGGCGGGGAGGCGUUACCUGCAGAAGAAGCACCGGCUAACUCCGUGCCAGCAGCCGCGGUAAUUC
rnacentral:rRNA from 1 species